UACGAAGGGGGCUAGCGUUGCUCGGAAUCACUGGGCGUAAAGCGCACGUAGGCGGAUUGCUAAGUCAGGGGUGAAAUCCUGGAGCUCAACUCCAGAACUGCCUUUGAUACUGGCGACCUUGAGUCCGGGAGAGGUGAGUGGAACUGCGAGUGUAGAGGUGAAAUUCGUAGAUAUUCGCAAGAACACCAGUGGCGAAGGCGGCUCACUGGCCCGGUACUGACGCUGAGGUGCGAAAGCGUGGGGGAGCAAACAGGAUUA
rnacentral:rRNA from 1 species